rnacentral:rRNA from 1 species
UGCAAGUCGAACGAGCGAGAGAGAGCUUGCUUUCUCGAGCGAGUGGCGAACGGGUGAGUAACGCGUGAGGAACCUGCCUCAAAGAGGGGGACAACAGUUGGAAACGACUGCUAAUACCGCAUAAGCCCACGGCUCGGCAUCGAGCAGAGGGAAAAGGAGUAAUCCGCUUUGAGAUGGCCUCGCGUCCGAUUAGCUAGUUGGUGAGGUAAUGGCCCACCAAGGCGACGAUCGGUAGCCGGACUGAGAGGUUGAACGGCCACAUUGGGACUGAGACACGGCCCAGACUCCUACGGGAGGCAGCAGUGGGGAAUAUUGCACAAUGGGGGAAACCCUGAUGCAGCGACGCCGCGUGGAGGAAGAAGGUCUUCGGAUUGUAAACUCCUGUUGUUGGGGAAGAUAAUGACGGUACCCAACAAGGAAGUGACGGCUAACUACGUGCCAGCAGCCGCGGUAAAACGUAGGUCACAAGCGUUGUCCGGAAUUACUGGGUGUAAAGGGAGCGCAGGCGGGAAGACAAGUUGGAAGUGAAAUCUAUGGGCUCAACCCAUAAACUGCUUUCAAAACUGUUUUUCUUGAGUAGUGCAGAGGUAGGCGGAAUUCCCGGUGUAGCGGUGGAAUGCGUAGAUAUCGGGAGGAACACCAGUGGCGAAGGCGGCCUACUGGGCACCAACUGACGCUGAGGCUCGAAAGUGUGGGUAGCAAACAGGAUUAGAUACCCUGGUAGUCCACACCGUAAACGAUGAUUACUAGGUGUUGGAGGAUUGACCCCUUCAGUGCCGCAGUUAACACAAUAAGUAAUCCACCUGGGGAGUACGACCGCAAGGUUGAAACUCAAAGGAAUUGACGGGGGCCCGCACAAGCAGUGGAGUAUGUGGUUUAAUUCGACGCA